rnacentral:rRNA from 2 species
GACGAACCGUCCAAACGUUAUUCGGAAUCACUGGGCUUACAGAGUUCGUAGGCGGUCUGGAAAGUUGGGUGUGAAAUCCCUCGGCUCAACCGAGGAACUGCGCUCAAAACUACCCGACUCGAGGGAGAUAGAGGAAAGCGGAACUGAUGGUGGAGCGGUGAAAUGCGUUGAUAUCAUCAGGAACACCGGUGGCGAAGGCGGCUUUCUGGGUCUUACCUGACGCUGAGGAACGAAAGCUAGGGGAGCGAACGGG